AGAACGAACGCUGGCGGCAUGCCUAACACAUGCAAGUCGAACGAGACCUUCGGGUCUAGUGGCGCACGGGUGCGUAACGCGUGGGAAUCUGCCCUUCGGUUCGGAAUAACUCAGGGAAACUUGAGCUAAUACCGGAUAAUGACUUCGGUCCAAAGAUUCAUCGCCGAGGGAUGAGCCCGCGUAGGAUUAGCUUGUUGGUGAGGUAAAGGCUCACCAAGGCGACGAUCCUUAGCUGGUCUGAGAGGAUGAUCAGCCACACUGGGACUGAGACACGGCCCAGACUCCUACGGGAGGCAGCAGUGGGGAAUAUUGGACAAUGGGCGAAAGCCUGAUCCAGCAAUGCCGCGUGAGUGAUGAAGGCCUUAGGUUGUAAGCUCUUUACCGGAUGAUAAUGACAGUACCGGAGAAGUAAGCCCGCUAACUCCGUGCCAGCAGCCGC
rnacentral:rRNA from 1 species